rnacentral:rRNA from 1 species
AUGAACGCUGACAGAAUGCUUAACACAUGCAAGUCAACUUGAACUUCGGUUUGGGUGGCGGACGGGUGAGUAACGCGUAAAGAACUUGCCUCACAGAUAGGGACAACAUUUGGAAACGAAUGCUAAUACCUGAUAUUAUGAUUUUAGGGCAUCCUAGAAUUAUGAAAGCUAUAUGCGCUGUGAGAGAGCUUUGCGUCCCAUUAGCUAGUUGGAGAGGUAACGGCUCACCAAGGCGAUGAUGGGUAGCCGGCCUGAGAGGGUGAUCGGCCACAAGGGGACUGAGACACGGCCCUUACUCCUACGGGAGGCAGCAGUGGGGAAUAUUGGACAAUGGACCAAGAGUCUGAUCCAGCAAUUCUGUGUGCACGAUGAAGUUUUUCGGAAUGUAAAGUGCUUUCAGUUGGGAAGAAAAAAAUGACGGUACCAACAGAAGAAGUGACGGCUAAAUACGUGCCAGCAGCCGCGGUAAUACGUAUGUCACAAGCGUUAUCCGGAUUUAUUGGGCGUAAAGCGCGUCUAGGUGGUUAUAUAAGUCUGAUGUGAAAAUGCAGGGCUCAACUCUGUAUUGCGUUGGAAACUGUGUAACUAGAGUACUGGAGAGGUAAGCGGAACUACAAGUGUAGAGGUGAAAUUCGUAGAUAUUUGUAGGAAUGCCGAUGGGGAAGCCAGCUUACUGGACAGAUACUGA